GAAGCUUCAUCAACCUGCU
rnacentral:snRNA from 1 species